GCUGGCGGCGUGCCUAACACAUGCAAGUCGAACGGGAAAACGGGGGCAACUCCGUGAGUAUAGUGGCGUACGGGUGAGUAACACGUGACUACCUACCUUUGAGUGGGGGAUAACCCCGGGAAACCGGGGCUAAUACCGCAUAACAUCGCAAGAUCAAAGAAGCAAUUCGCUUAAAGAGGGGGUCGCGGCUGAUUAGCUAGUUGGUAGGGUAAUGGCCUACCAAGGCGAUGAUCGGUAGCCGGCCUGAGAGGGCGCACGGCCACACUGGAACUGAAACACGGUCCAGACUCCUACGGGAGGCAGCAGUGGGGAAUUUUGCGCAAUGGGGGAAACCCUGACGCAGCAACGCCGCGUGGAGGAUGAAGUCCCUUGGGACGUAAACUCCUUUCGACCGGGACGAUUAUGACGGUACCGGUGGAAGAAGCCCCGGCUAACUUCGUGCCAGCAGCCCGCGGUAAUACGACGGGGGCAAGCGUUGUUCGGAAUUAU
rnacentral:rRNA from 1 species